AGCAAAAUCGGCAAAAUGUUUCUUACGUUGAGCGUCGUGUUGGGUCUGGCAGCUGCCUCUCUGGCCGCUCCGUCACAGCCUCCCUACGGAUACUCUCCUCCUCCCUCUUAUCAGUCUCCAGCUCAGUACAACUUCGAUUGGGUCGUGAAGGACGACUACUCCGCCAACGACUACGGCCACCAGGAGUCCCGCGACGGCUAUAACACACAGGGAUCCUACUACGUGAAACUUCCUGACGGUCGCC